UGUGGGCCGUGGUUUCAGGUGUGACCCA
rnacentral:piRNA from 1 species